AUUGAACGCUGGCGGCAGGCCUAACACAUGCAAGUCGAGCGGCUGAAGGGAGCUAGCUCCUGGUUUCAGCGGCGGACGGGUGAGUAAUGCCUAGGAACCUGCCUGGCAGUGGGGGAUAACGUCCGGAAACGGGCGCUAAUACCGCAUACGUCCUGAGGGCGAACGUGGGGGAUCUUCGGACCUCACGCCAUCAGAUGAGCCUAGGUCGGAUUAGCUAGUUGGUGGGGUAAAGGCCUACCAAGGCGACGAUCCGUAACUGGUCUGAGAGGAUGAUCAGUCACACUGGAACUGAGACACGGUCCAGACUCCUACGGGAGGCAGCAGUGGGGAAUAUUGGACAAUGGGCGAAAGCCUGAUCCAGCCAUGCCGCGUGUGUGAAGAAGGUCUUCGGAUUGUAAAGCACUUUAAGUUGGGAGGAAAGGCAGUAAGUUAAUACCUUGCUGUUUUGACGGUACCAACAGAAUAAGCACCGGCUAACUUCGUG
rnacentral:rRNA from 1 species